CCGCGAACGGCUCAUUAUAACAGCUAURAUUUACUUGAUCUUGAACAGUUACUCGGAUAACUGUGGUAAUUCUAGAGCUAAUACGUGCACCGAAGCUACCUCUUGCGGGGUAGUGCAUUUAUUGGAGCAAAACCAAGCGGCUUCGGCCGUUUUUGCUGACUCAGAAUAACUAAGCUGAUCGUAUGGGCUUGUCCCGACGACGUGUCUUUCAAGUGUCUGCCUUAUCAACUUUCGAUGGUAGUGUACGUGACUACCAUGGUGUUGACGGGUAACGGAGGAUAAGGGUUCGACUCCGGAGAAGGGGCCUGAGAAAUGGCCACUACGUCUAAGGAUGGCAGCAGGCGCGCAAAUUACCCACUCUCGGCACGAGGAGGUAGUGACGAAAAAUAACGAGACCGUUCUCUACGAGGCCGGUCAUCGGAAUGGGUACAACUCAAACCCUUUAACGAGUAUCAAUGAGAGGGCAAGUCUGGUGCCAGCAGCCGCGGUAAUUCCAGCUCUCAAAAUGCAUAGAAUCAUUGCUGCGGUUAAAAAGCUCGUAGUUGGAUCUGUGCUGGCGACGUGGUCCACCUUAACGGGUGGUACUGCGCUCGUCGGCUUUGGGCUGGUCUUCGGUCGGUCGCCUUCACUGGUGGCUGCUCGUGGCUGGCUGGUUUACUUUGAGCAAAUCGGAGUGCUCAGCACAGGCGUAUUGCCGGAACGUUCGUGCAUGGAAUAAUAGAAAAGGAUCACGGUCCUUUUUAUUGGUUUUAAGGACUGAGAUAAUGGUUAACAGAGACGAACGGGGGCAUUCGUAUUGCUGCGUUAGAGGUGAAAUUCUUGGACCGCAGCAGGACGGACUACAGCGAAAGCAUUUGCCAAGCGCGUCUUCAUUAAUCAAGAACGAAAGUCAGAGGUUCG
rnacentral:rRNA from 1 species